UGGGGAAUAUUGCACAAUGGGCGCAAGCCUGAUGCAGCGACGCCGCGUGAGGGAUGGAGGCCUUCGGGUUGUAAACCUCUUUCGCCAGUGAAGCAGGCCAUCUUCUUUGUGGGGUGGUUGACGGUAGCUGGAUAAGAAGCGCCGGCUAACUACGUGCCAGCAGCCGCGGUAAUACGUAGGGCGCGAGCGUUGUCCGGAAUUAUUGGGCGUAAAGAGCACGUAGGCGGCUGGUCGCGUCUGUCGUGAAAUCCCCUGGCUUAACUGGGGGCUUGCGGUUGGUACGCGCCGGCUUGAGUGCGGUAGGGGAGACUGGAAUUCCUGGUGUAGCCGUGGAAUGCGCAGAUAUCAGGAGGAACUCCGGUGGCGACGGCGGGUCUCUGGGCCGUUACUGACGCUGAGGAGCGAAAGCGUGGGGAGCGAACCGG
rnacentral:rRNA from 1 species